CAAGAAAUAAACUUUUGGUGAGUUAAGCCAUUUCAAUUUGAGGGUUGUUUGCUACCACCAUGUUUUCACUUGUAGGUUUUGUUACUACCAUUCAGGUAUGGUGAGGCCAACAGAUCAGAAGACACUGCCGCUGAAAAGAUAACACAGUUUCCUAGAGGAAGGGGCAUACUAUGCCAUGCAGGGCCACAAGCAUGUCAGAAGCUCCAGCGUCAGUGACAAGGCAGAAGGAGCCUGGGGCCAUGCUUGACACACCAAUGUCCUCAUGAAAUGCUUGGCAAAGAAAAAGGACCACAGGACAGAGGCUCCAGAGAGACACACUUGGGCUCCACGCAGAGAAGAACACUGGCAUUCACAUCUGCCAAAGGUAUGAGCGUGCCACCUCUCAAGUUCAAUCCAAUUUUAAUCCCUCAAAUAUUUACUGAGUGGCAACAGGUCUCAGAUGCUGAUCCUCAGAGAGGAGGAGGAACAUACCUGGUUGAAUCUUGGGCCAAGCUCAGAGACAUGGCUUUGCUUUUGCCAGUCAGAGAACCAGUGAGAAAGGCCAUAAUGAAACUCUGAUCUCAACAAACUCCAACCUGGAAUUAUGGAGUCUAUUAGUACAUUGGGUUGACCCCAUUACUGGAGUAAAUGUAAGUCUUGAUUCCUGCUUGAUAGAAAAACAUAGAAGACAGGGAAAGACGGAAGAAUUAGGCUUUGUCCAAAUGUCUUCCAGGCACAUGGAACUUUCUGAAACUGUCUGGAGUAGGGCGGCUGGCAAAUCAAAACACUAUCUGCCAAGACUGUCAGUGUGACAAGUGUUGCUUACACUUACUCUUUUAUUCCCAAGGUCAAAUUGGCAUGUCAUUUUUCAUAUCACUGUUUGAUGUGCUAACAGCCUUAAAUGAGAACCAUUCAAUAAAAGCCCAAUUUGCUAUAUUACCAUUUAUUCCUGGAUAAUUCUAUAUUAGUUGGGCUCUUUAAGAUUGUCUCUGUGCUGCCCCAAAAUCUGGAGAACCAUGUGAUAAACCCCCACUUUUCAUAACUUUCUGAGGAUGGAGGCAGAGCCCUGAGUCGUCCCUGAGUGAGUGUUGCUGGGACUGGUUCCCUAGGCCUCAAGUGAAAUAAGAGAUCUGGAUCAGCUAGAAGGACAUAAUGAUCAGGAAUGACAGAGAUGGAUGGCUCUCUGGGUGACGUGGCCCGAGGCUUUGCCUUGCAAGACCUGGCCUGCCUUUCUUUCUACCUCAGCUCAUGGCUCUCUCCCCUUUGGUCUUUCCCCCUCUACCCACACUGGCUUCUAUUUUUUGAGAAGGAGUCUCGCUCUGUGGCCCAGGCUGGAGUGCAGUGGCGUGAUCUCGGCUCUCUCCAAGCUCUG
rnacentral:lncRNA from 1 species